UUAGAUCUUGCAAGAAAGGCUUCGUCGGAGAUUCCAAUUUUAUGCCCGCCAGGGAACUCGGGGUCGCCUCUCUCUUCGUUUGAGCCGCCGCUACCGCCUUCUUUGCCGCCCUUAACGCCUCCGGCAUCCACAGUGUCUACACUCCGAGGAUUGCGCCUUAUGCGAGGAAUUUGAUGUGGUUCGUGAGCAAUGGGCUAAGUUUUUUACCAGCAAGUAUUUAUUAUUGGCUUUAGCGCGCUUGAUCGAGUUGGUUUAGUUGUUAUAGAAUAAAUUUUAUAUCAAAAUGUAUGUUUAUGUUGAAAUUGGAACAUAUAUUUAAAUGUAAUAUGUGCACUUUGGUUUUGGGAUAUAUAGUAUACAAAACUCCAGUUGUUGUUUUUA